UGCAAAAACUCAGUCGGCAGAGCCUGAGACUCUUAAUUUCAGGUUCAUGGGUUCAAGCCCCACGUUGGGCAA